AUUGAACGCUGGCGGCAUGCCUUACACAUGCAAGUCGAACGGCAGCACGGGUGCUUGCACCUGGUGGCGAGUGGCGAGCGGGUGAGUAAUACAUCGGAACAUGUCCUGUAGUGGGGGAUAGCCCGGCGAAAGCCGGAUUAAUACCGCAUACGAUCUACGGAUGACAGCGGGGGACCUUCGGGCCUCGCGCUAUAGGGUUGGCCGAUGGCUGAUUAGCUCGUUGGUGGGGUAAAGGCCUACCAAGGCGACGAUCAGUAGCUGGUCUGAGAGGACGACCAGCCACACUGGGACUGAGACACGGACCAGACUCCUACGGGAGGCAGCAGUGGGGAAUUUUGGACAAUGGGCGAAAGCCUGAUCCAGCAAUGCCGCGUGUGUGAAGAAGGCCUUCGGGUUGUAAAGCACUUUUGUCCGGAAAGAAAUCCUUGGCCCUAAUACGGUCGGGGGAUGACGGUACCGGAAGAAUAAGCACCGGCUAACUACGUG
rnacentral:rRNA from 1 species